rnacentral:lncRNA from 1 species
AUCCCGGGCCCAGCGGAGCGGCGAUACCUCAGGAUGCCGUCCCCACACCGGAUCCGUGGCUGGGCGGUCCCGCCGUGGAAGGGAACUGGCCGGUCUGCGGCCGGGAGCGGGAGCGGUCCCACCGCGAGGAGCCCGCGGGGGGCUGUCCCCGACCCCCGUGGGUGCAGCACCCNNNNNNNNNNNNNNNNNNNNCACUCGGGCAGGGCAGAGGAGGCGGAGGGAGAGGAGGAAGAGGAGGGAGAGGAGGAAGAGGAGGGAGAGGAGGUGUUCAGCGUGCAGCAGGUGCCGAGGCGAAGCUCGCCACAACAAAUCGCUGUGAUUCAGCCCCGGAGCAUCUGGCAGCGAGCGGUGACGAGCCGGGGGAGCCGGUGUCACGCAGCCGCUCCGCCGAGGCGUCCCGGAGCCCCCGGGAACCGGAGCUGCCCCGCACGGAUCCGCUCAUCCGGGGGGGACGGAGCUCCUCAGCUCCCGUUUCCCGAGCCCCCGCUGGCCUCAGUGGCUCUGCUUCUCUCUCGGUGUCACAGCACAGGACACAGCCGUGUCACCUCCGUGCUCUCUGGGAGCUCCCUGCGCUGUCCCAGCCCUCCCGCACGGCUGGAGCAUCCCUCAGGCGGGUGGGAAGGGCUGUGCCAGGUGGGGGGAUACACCUGGGUGGGUUUUCAUGGGGGGACAGCACCCCUGGGCAGCACACCAGGUCUCAGAGGUCUCCUGCUGCCAGCUCCCCCUGCACUGCCCUGCAUCUCAAAAAUCGUGUCUGUCCGACCCUUCUUUCAUCACAGUUCCAGAGAAUUUCCUCCCUGGUUAUUUGAAUUUAAUUUUCUGUUGUCUUACCAUCCAUCUCCUGACUUUUAGGAUCAGGGCACAAGCUCCUGUCAUCCCUUUGCGGUCCCUCCAGUGGUUGCUGUCUCUGGGAUUGAGGUUGGAUGAUGGAAUAAAUCCUUCCAAGUCAUCA